CCUCCCAAACGUGGGGACCAGGCUGCCUUCAGAGCCCUUCCUGAAAUGCAGGCGGGCGGCCGCGGUCGGGGAGGACCCUGUGGAGACAGAGGUAGACUGGGGGCCGUCUCGGAGGCAGGACCGCAAUGUGACCACAGAACCAUUAUUGCCAGAAUUCCUAUCUUCAUCCCAGUGCUGGUGAAGUCAAAGAUAAAACCAAUCUACAGCUUCUACAAUAGCCAUCACUGAACUGCUUGCAGAACUUGCCUGGACACACUGUGAGCUCACCUGUAUGCAUUGUGAACUAUCUGUUGGUGCAGCGACUUGUGGUAGUGUUGGGGUAUUUUUGCUGAUGAUGUCAUUGGUGGUACAAUUUUUCCAAAAGGAGCCGUCAAUUGGCUUGGUGUAUCUUCCUCCCUUCUGCUUGUCAUGAUCGUCCAGCUAAAAUUUGGGGGCCAAUAGAGGUGAGGCAAAGAACCUCACCCCCCCGCUGGUACAAAGACCUCUCCACAGGUGUGGCUGUAUACUGGACCAGUAGUCAGUGACGGGUAAGAUCCAAUUGCAAUGGUACCAACCUAAGGACCAUAUGUACUAUUGGACAACCUAAGGCAGGCACGGUCCCUAAGCCACAUGCUUGUUGUUUAAACAGAGAGGGGGAGAUGUUGAGAGCCACAGCCAAAGGGGCCCCAGCAAACUUCCAGCUGCCGGCUGAUGAUUGGCUCACAGCGGCCCCAGCAACAUCUAGCUGAUUGGCUCCUCUGCGGUGAUGCUCAUUGGGGGACUUUUUUGGCUCCACCCACGUGACCCAGCCAAUCGGCCUCAAGAGCAGGAGGAUUGUGGGAGGUGGAGAGAAGCUUGUGUGGGAGAGAGAGGCUUGUGGAAAGCCGGUGGUGGCAGUUGAGGCUCUGAGGGUUUUUCCUGAGAGGCUGUUUUGUUUGGCAUGUGUGGUUCUAAAAAUAAAGUUAGUUUCUUUUGACAAGUGGCUCCUGAUUGUGCCCAGCCAGACUGCGGCAUGCACUACCAUGACCAACUUCAUUCCACUUUAAAGAAAAGUUGAAAGACUAGCUGGGCACGGUGCUACACAACUGCAGAUCAUCAACAUGGCAUUUCUUGAACUGCUAGAUAUUUGGAGAGGAGAGGAGUGGGGCAGGGUGCAGUGGUGGCUGGGGACCUAGCCAGCCCCUUGCACAGGCCCCUGGGGGCAGAGUGAAGACUGAAGCAGAAGGCAGUUUGGGAAGCUGUUACCCAGGGCUCUGCAGACUCUCUGGGGUCAGGGAGAGACUUGAGGGCCAGGUGGCCCCUUGUGAAUGGGCAGGGCUGGGUCCCAACACAAAUGUAUUAUGGAUGCUGGAAUUUAAGCUUUAUGUGAUUUUUACAUCUCAUGGCAUUAUAUUCAUCACUUUUCUUUUUCAGUCUUCUAAAAAUGUAAAACCAUUCUCAGUUUGUGGGUCUGAAAUGAAUGACAAGAGACCAUCCCUUUUUUUUUUGGUGGUGUUUGGAUUAAACCCAGGGUACUUUACCACUGAGCUACACCCCAACCCUUUUAAAAUUUGAGACUGGAUCUCACAAAAUUGCUGAGGCUGGCCUCAUACUUUUGGUUAUCCUACCUCAGCCUCCAGAGUCGCUGAGAUUGCAGGUCUGGUAUGAGGCCCAGGAAAAGUAUUUUUUCAGAGUUUAUUUGGGAACAGACAGGGAUUACAAUCCCAGACACAUGCUGUGGUAGACCCUAGGUGCAUCUGAAGAGGUUGAAGGGAGGCAUUUUUUAAAAUUGCAACAUUUUAUUGUCAUCUUUAAGCAAAAGUUGUUUUCAUUGUAGGUUAUGUUUUUGCUUUAGAAAUUUGUGUGUGUGUGUUGCUGGGUAUUGAACCCAGGGCCUUGUGCAUGUGAGGCAAGCGCUCUAUCAAGCUAUAUCCCCAGCCCCAAGAAAUUUCUUAAUUCUGCAGCAAAGUCCAGUGAAUAAGCAGUGGCGAGAGAAACCACUCCAUCUUGGCACCAGUGGUUCUGGUCGAGGCUACUUUUCAGUUCACAUCUUAGGAUUUGGAGAUGAAUCAGGUGUGGGGGCAUUUAAAAGUAAGAAAGGACGGGUCUGCAUAGACUGUUCUCAAAGAGGCACCCAGGCCACAGGGCUUGUUGUAGGAGCUAGGUUGCUCAGUGGUGGGCACAUGUCACAGGUGUCCUGUGCAGGAUGCAGUUUGAGAGAUUCCUCACAGUGGCCUUGGAGGCACAUGUGUGGGAGGGUUCCUUCCUAGUGACUCUGGUUUCUGUUUGUGAAGUGCUGGGGGUGGGACCCAGGGUCUUGCCCAUCCAUGCCAAGCAGGUGCUCUACAGCUAAGCCACACGCCUGGCCCCGGUUAUCCCAAUUUGAUACUCACAACUGUCACAAGGUGUACAAAACAGUGAGCCAGAGGCAAGUCAUUUUUGUCAUACCCUGUCAGUAAGUAAAGGGGCCAGACAUGGCCAAAAGGUGGCUGUGGGUAUCUCAGCACUGACCUGGGGACUUCCCUGGGGUUUAAUGCAGGUUGGGUAGCUGGAGGACAUGGAGGGUUUUGCCAGUGUUAUCAGCAGUGAGGAGGGAUGGGCUGGGGCAGGCAGACAGCAUGGCUCCAGGGGCUCUCUGCGGGUGGGGCCAGAUGUGGUCAGAACUCCUGCAAGAUGGUUUUCAGAAUGAUCUGUUGCAGGAAGAGAAGACCCAAAAGCCUCAGGACUGUUGUGGCUACUGUAGGAUUCCAUUAAAGAAACAGGUGGGCUUU